rnacentral:rRNA from 1 species
AUUGAACGCUGGCGGCAGGCCUAACACAUGCAAGUCGAACGGUAACAGGAAGAAGCUUGCUUCUUUGCUGACGAGUGGCGGACGGGUGAGUAAAGUCUGGGAAACUGCCUGAUGGAGGGGGAUAACUACUGGAAACGGUAGCUAAUACCGCAUAACGUCGCAAGACCAAAGAGGGGGACCUUCGGGCCUCUUGCCAUCGGAUGUGCCCAGAUGGGAUUAGCUAGUAGGUGGGGUAACGGCUCACCUAGGCGACGAUCCCUAGCUGGUCUGAGAGGAUGACCAGCCACACUGGAACUGAGACACGGUCCAGACUCCUACGGGAGGCAGCAGUGGGGAAUAUUGCACAAUGGGCGCAAGCCUGAUGCAGCCAUGCCGCGUGUAUGAAGAAGGCCUUCGGGUUGUAAAGUACUUUCAGCGGGGAGGAAGGGAGUAAAGUUAAUACCUUUGCUCAUUGACGUUACCCGCAGAAGAAGCACCGGCUAACUCCGUG